CUCCUGAUGGCACAGUUGGUAGCGCGUUGGACUGUAAUUGCAAAUUAUCUCAGAGAUCCACAGGUCGGGUGUUCGAGUCACCCUCAGGAGA